AUGCAUAUUGUUUCACUUGAUUAUAGAACAACUCUUUGAAUUAAAUGCUUUCCUCAUUUUACAGUGGAGAAAAAUGAGAGAAACAGAGGUCAAGUGGCAUGUAAGUGACAAGAGUAGAGUUUCUGAUCAUGGGAGAGCAAGCCACAGGAAAUUGGGAGUCAGAAUAUUCCCAAUUUCUAAGGAUUCCUAAGGAGAAAGGAAUGAUACAGUUUUGUAGACUUCAGCCAAGAAGAAAGACUCACUUGGCAACAGAACCACCUUUGAAUGUGAACUUGCUGAAGCAAAGAUUGUCCCAGCAGAACUGGAAAGUCUUUUACUCAAGACAUUGGAACAACUCAAAUUGAUCACUUCUGGGAAAAAAGACUACCACAUGGGUGAGUGAAAAAGACUGACUCCCUUCCCUGGCUUUUCUGGAGGAACUAGCCUUGGGAGAAGACCCCUGUCUUAGAGGAGGCCUCGUGGCUAAAAUCCUUAUUUAAUUUACCUCUGGACCCCCUUUGCUGAAGUCUCUGAAGCUGUGUCUGGUUCAGACUGGGCCAGAUUAAGUAUCUACUCUCUCUCUCUCUCUCUGAUUUUCAAAUUUUCACUCUCCUUUUCUAAAUAAACUACCAUAAAAAAUAAUUCUGUCUUGAGUA
rnacentral:lncRNA from 1 species